rnacentral:lncRNA from 1 species
AACUAUAACUGAUUUGCCAUAUUUUAGGUAAAAUGAAUCCUUGCAUCUAUGAUCAACUACGUUACUGGAGCUAGCUAUUUCGUCGACUAGGAAUCCUUCUUAUAAUUGAUUUUAGUUUCCAACUUGCAGCCAAGAAUUUGAUUUAUAUUACUUUGUUUAUUUCCUAUUUCAUAUUUUCCAUUAAUGUUGAAUUUAUGAAAACCCUUUUUUUG